UUCCGGUUGAUCCCGCCGGACCUGACUGCUAUCGGAUUGAUACUAAGCCAUGCGAGUCAUUGUAGCAAUACAAGGCAUACGGCUCAGUAACGCGUAGUCAACCUACCCUAUGGACGGAAAUAACCUCGGGAAACUGAGAAUAAUAUCCGAUAGAACAUUAUGCCUGGAAUGGUUUAUGUUCCAAAUGAUUUAUCGCCGUAGGAUGGGACUGCGGCCUAUCAGUUUGUUGGUGAGGUAAUGGCCCACCAAGACUAUUACAGGUACGGGCUCUGAGAGGAGUAGCCCGGAGAUGGGUACUGAGACACGGACCCAGGCCCUAUGGGGCGCAGCAGGCGAGAAAACUUUGCAAUGUGCGAAAGCACGACAAGGUUAAUCCGAGUGAUUUCUGCUAAAGAAAUCUUUUGUUAGUCCUAGAAACACUAACGAAUAAGGGGUGGGCAAGUUCUGGUGUCAGCCGCCGCGGUAAAACCAGCACCUCAAGUGGUCAGGAUGAUUAUUGGGCCUAAAGCAUCCGUAGCCGGCUCUGUAAGUCCUCGGUUAAAUCUGUACGCUUAACGUACAGGCUGCCGGGAAUACUGCAUAGCUAGGGAGUGGGAGAGGUAGACGGUACUCGGUAGGAAGGGGUAAAAUCCUUUGAUCUAUUGAUGACCACCUGUGGCGAAGGCGGUCUACCAGAACACGUCCGACGGUGAGGGAUGAAAGCUGGGGGAGCAAACCGGAUUAGAUACCCGGGUAGUCCCAGCUGUAAACUAUGCAAACUCAGUGAUGCAUUGGCUUGUGGCCAAUGCAGUGCUGCAGGGAAGCCGUUAAGUUUGCCGCCUGGGAAGUACGUACGCAAGUAUGAAACUUAAAGGAAUUGGCGGGGGAGCACCACAAGGGGUGAAGCCUGCGGUUCAAUUGGAGUCAACGCCGG
rnacentral:rRNA from 2 species